CCUUUGAGCUGCGGGCCCCCUUCGGUUUUAAAAUAAGAUAGGGAUGCAUUAAUAUGCUGCUGUGAGUUUACAUGGUUAAAUAUACAUUGU